rnacentral:rRNA from 1 species
CCUACGGGAGGCAGCAGUGGGGAAUAUUGGACAAUGGGGGCAACCCUGAUCCAGCCAUGCCGCGUGUGUGAAGAAGGCCCUCGGGGUGUAAAGCACUUUCAGUGAGGAAGAACGCCUGGUGGUGAAUACCCAUCAGGAAAGACAUCAUUCACAGAAGAAGCACCGGCUAACUCCGUGCCAGCAGCCGCGGUAAUACGGAGGGUGCGAGCGUUAAUCGGAAUUACUGGGCGUAAAGCGCGCGUAGGUGGCUUGAUAAGCCGGUUGUGAAAGCCCCGGGCUCAACCUGGGAACGGCAUCCGGAACUGUCAAGCUAGAGUGCAGGAGAGGAAGGUAGAAUUCCCGGUGUAGCGGUGAAAUGCGUAGAGAUCGGGAGGAAUACCAGUGGCGAAGGCGGCCUUCUGGACUGACACUGACACUGAGGUGCGAAAGCGUGGGUAGCAAACAGGAUUAGAUACCCCAGUAGUC